GGUCUCUUUCUCCAGUGCAAGAAAGCCUUUUAAACGCGUUUGCGAGAGAAUGGCAAGAGCUACUGAAAUUUAUUCGUGAAGUUAGUUAUUCGAUCGCUUUCUCAUCGCAGAAGUAUAAGCAUAGCCUUUCAGUGGGCGCAUUGACCAUGGUCACCAUGAGGGCAAGGCUAAGCAGGCCCUGUAUGAGGUGGUGGAGAUGGACAGAGCCAUCCAGCAGGGAGGACUGAUGACCAGCUUGCAUGACACCCUGACUGUGGUGACUGCAGAUCAUUCACAUGUCUUCAGCUUUGGAGGAUACACACCAUGUGGAAACUCCAUAUUUGACCAAAAUAACUACCAGGCCCAGGCAGCAGUGCCCCUGCGUUAUGAGACGCACGGCGGGGAGGACGUGGCGGUGUUCGCUAGGGGCCCCAUGGCCUAACUGCUGCAUGGAGUGCAGGAGCAGAACUACAUUCCCCACGUCAUGGCCUACGCAGCCUGCAUUGGGCAGAACUGAAACCACUGCCCAGCUGCCCUCAGCCAGGCACCUGCCCCGGCCCUGCCCCUCCUCCUGGCCUUCCUCAUCCAAAUUGGCCUCCUUUGCUGACCCUGGCCCCAUCCAGCUCUGCCAGCCAUCUGUGCUCACCCCACCCCCAACAGGACCAUGACAACUCCACCCCACAAUUCUGCUAAUUCCACCUUCAAUGUGCCCCUCCUCCCACAACUCACCCCCCCCCCUGCUGACCCAUCUCCUCUUCCAGACCCACCUGUCUGUAUGCACACAUCCAUUGUACUUUCAUACUUCAGAUUUUUGCUACACUAAAUAUAAUAUUGAUAAUAACAAAAUUCUGUUCAUAUACAAUGUAUGAAAUCAUCAUUAUGAAUUGAUAAGCAUGAGAUUUCUCAUUUAGUAUAGCACAAAUGAGAAAUACACUUUAGUGUUUAUAUUAUAUACAUUAUGUUUAUAUCCUGUAGUGUUUUAAUGGGGAAAGGAUAAACAUUACACAGAAAUAUGGUGAUUCAGUGUGACCAGAAAUUUAAUUCUCAAAAAUGUUGGCAUGUGGCUCUUGUGAACAAAAUGGAUUUAACAAAAAAAGUAACUUGUUGGGGGGCUGCUGGGUCACUCAAUUGUGUGCUGCAAGUAGACCUUUUUCAAGUGAGCGCCAAGGUUCUUGAUCAAAUCUGACCUGAGCCAGUGCAUUGCAUCACUCAGGGAUAUAGUCAGUAGGGAUAGAGCAGUGUUCAGGGAUACAGGCAGUAGGGAUACAGCAGUGUUCAGGGAUACAGUCAGUAGGGAUACAGCAGUGUUCAGGGAUGUGGGAGGGGUACAGUCAGUAGGGAUAUAGCAGUGUUCAGGGAUGUGGGAGGGAUGCAGUCAGUAGGGAGGCAGCAAUGUUCAGGGAUAUGGGAGGGAUACAGUCAAUAGGGAUAUAACAGUGUUCAGGGAUGUGGGAGGGGUACAGUCAGUAGGGAUAUAGCAGUGUUCAGGGGUACAGUCAGUAAGGAUACAGCAGUGUUCAGAGAUACAAUCAGUAGGGAUACAGCAGUGUUCAGGGAUGUGGGAGGGGUACAGUCAGUAGGGAUAUAGCAGUGUUCAGGGAUAUGGGAGGGGUAUAGUCAAUAGGGAUACAGCAGUGCUCAGGGAUACAGUCAGUAGGGAUAUAGCAGUGUUCAGGGAUAUGGGAGGGGUCAGUCAAUAGGGCUAUAGCAGUGUUCAGGGAUGUGGGAGGGAUGCAGGCAGUAGGGAUACAGCAGUGUUCAGGGAUACAGUCAGUAGGGAUAUAGCAGUGUUCAGGGAUACAGUCAGUAGGGAUAUAGCAGUGUUCAGGGAUAGUCAAUAGGGAUAUAGCAGUGUUCAGGGAUAUGGAAGGGAUGCAGUCAGUAGGGAUAUAGCAGUGUUCAGGGAUGUGGGAGGGAUGCAGUCAGUAGGGAGGCAGCAAUGUUCAGGGAUAUGGGAGGGAUACAGUCAAUAGGGAUAUAACAGUGUUCAGGGAUGUGGGAGGGAUACAGUCAGUAGGGAUAUAGCAGUGUUCAGGGAUGUGGGAGGGAUACAGUAGGUAGGGAUAUAUAGCAUUGCUCAUUGCUCCAGUGACUCCAGCUGGCUGUCUCGGCACCUGUGGUUGGCAUUCUGUACACGUGUAUGAAUGGGUCUCCUCCACCACUGCUCUACAUGAGCAUGGCUGGCAGCUGGCAGACGUGUGUUUUGGAGGAGAACUAGGGUUUGCCUUCACGCUGCCAAGCCAGCAGCAGGGCCUGUAUAUGAGCACACUUGCACAUAGUCCACGAAUUGGACAUUCCAAAUUCAGGUGAUCGAGAUGUCAAAUUCUAUAAAAAGCCUUUCUAAAGGGAAGUGAGGCCAUAGAGGUUGCACCUCUCCCCACCCCUCCCGACCUCCCUGUAGUCUCUAAUUGGUUAUGUAAGCUUAGGUAUAUAGCUAGGUAAGCUGUUUAUUUUAUUUUAGUUAUUGCACUUGUGCCUACUUGUUUAAUAAUUGCCUGGAUUAUUUGCAUAGACUGUUUUUGCUGCUGCUUUUGUUUGUGUUCAGAUUAACCAACAGGGAGUUAUACUACGCGGUCGCUCCCUGCGCUUGGAUCUGUACUUCCCUCUAGGGUUUUCAACACACUUGUCCCUGGAUACGGUUAUACACUUUGUUGUACGUCACUCUGGAUAAGAGCGUCUGCCAAAUGCCUGUAAUGUAAUAGUCUAAACAGGAAAAACAAAUAAUUUUUACAGAAUCAAUGAAAUCCAAAGGAAAAGCUCUAUGAUUAUUAUGGUGAAAAAUGUCAUUUUAAAUAUUUUUUAAAAAUAUUGAGUUAUUGAGGAGGCAAAUCUCAGUGGGUUCCCUCGGUUUUUAAUCCACAGCUGUGUAUUAACAUAAUUUUCCAAAGCACCAUACUAGCAAGGGAUCUGCUGCGUAUGAAGUUGUGGAUUACAGCGUGCAAAUUGGAGUACUGUAUCAGAGCACUCAUUUAGUCAGCAAAAUGGUGAGCAUUGUUGGGCUGAAUGGCCCAUCAUUAUGUUAUGAAGAAUGUCUGUUGUGCACGACAGUUUUUUUUCUCUAGUUGAUCCCUAGCAAGACUCCUGCAAGUCCCUAACCCUAACCCAAAAUUCAGUGUUCAGUGUUUUCCCCUCCUGAGUGGAAUUCAGAGAUUUAAAGACUGAGGCACCUGUUCUGUGGUAGACACAGCAAAAGCGGAGAAUAUAAAAGUUUUAAUAUUUCACAUGGGGCAAAUUUAAAAUUGUGAAGCAACUAUGAUUGUGAGUAUUACAAUGCUGAGCCCAUUAUAAACAAUACACUACUUUAAAACAACUUUAAAAAGAUAAAUAUGCUUGCUAAACAUUCUUAUAAAUAAACCAAAAUAAAAAAUAAA